UUAGUAACGCCUUUGUAGGCCUCCAAUUGAAACUUAUACCCGCCAGGGACAUUCCGAAGAGACCUCGUGCUCGCAUUUGGCUACCCCCUCUAGAGGAGCCAGGAAAAAAACUCCUGAGGUGCAUUAAGCUGUAGAACAAAUCUAUACCUAGUAUAGAUGAGUCGCAGCUAAUCAAGGAGGAAAAACCGAAUAAAGCAAGCAAGCCAAUACUAGUGGCCAUUUGUGAUGAGUCCAUUGAGGCUCUGAAGAAGACUGACUACAAAAUCAGCUUCGGAAUGCCUUGCGGAUUACUAAAAAUCUUCCAAGGCGACAAAGCGGCUGACGAAGAGGACACGGAAGAGGUCGCGACGCCAGCCAGUUACUAAAGAAUGUGGACAACGAAGAAACCCGAGAUGCUCAAUAACAUAAGAUGCGUACAGAUAAACCUGCAGCACUCGAAUAGUGCUACAGCGAAUCUGACAACCCUCGUGAACGAGGGGGGCACAGACAUCAGCCUAGUACAGGAGCCCUGGGUCAAUGAAGCUACCCUUAAAGGGCUAAACAGCAGCAACCAUAACCUGUUUUACACACGGAACAGAGCACAGCAGAGAUCGCAGUGGUAAAGGUGGAACAGAAGGAAAAGCCCUUCUUCUUGGUCUCGGCCUAAUUGGCCCAUGACGAAGACAUACCACCGGCCCCGCUCACCAGCUAGUAGAGCAGAACAGGAAGGAUGAUGUCGUAAUAGGGUGUGAUGCAAACGCAAGGCACACCGUAUGGGGUAGCUCCAGUAUAAACACCAGAGCAUUUUCGCUUUCUGCAACCCGUUUUGACCUCUCGCCACCCUUAUUCACCAGAGGUGGCCAUGAUGUUUUAUUGUGAACGUACACUUGAGGGGUAGGUUAAGGACUGUGAAUGGCUCUUUUUUCUAUUGUGAAUGGGAAUUUCCCUACUCCUCUAUACCAUGGUGCCACUAGCACAGUUGCUUAACAAAAAUGAGGACUGCAAUGAAGCUCUCCAAAUAAAUCAAACUCUUUUAGCAUAAAUUGAUACAAACAGUUUCAUGUGUAUUGAUGACAUCGAGUAAUGGAAUGAAGAUGAGUUUGAAGACGGAACUGGUUAUGACCUAAGUAGCGGUGCUGAAUUUUCUGAUAGCAGUGAAGAUGACGUUGUUGACGACACACCAGUUAUUUCAAAUGCUAUAGCUAUUGAAAGCGUUAACAAUUUAAUAAAUUGGUGCAACAAGAGUGAAUUGUCUUCCAAUAAGCACAUGGCCAAUCUUUUGGCCCUCCGUAACGAUAUUGUUAUAUCGGAUUUAAAGAAACCAAAAAAACAAACAAAUAUUACUGAUUAUAUGUCAAACAAAAAUUAAUUUUGAACUGAGCCCUUAUCCAAAAUUUUUAAUUAAUUUCUGAAAUUUUAAGUUGUUUUUUUCAUAAUUGUUAUGUA